rnacentral:rRNA from 1 species
UACGUAGGGACCAAGCCUUGUUCGGAUUUACUGGGCGUAAAGGGCGCGUAGGCGGCGUGGUAAGUCACUUGUGAAAUCUCUGAGCUUAACUCAGAACGGCCAAGUGAUACUGCUGUGCUAGAGUGCAGAAGGGGCAAUCGGAAUUCUUGGUGUAGCGGUGAAAUGCGUAGAUAUCAAGAGGAACACCUGAGGUGAAGACGGGUUGCUGGGCUGACACUGACGCUGAUGCGCGAAAGCCAGGGGAGCAAACGGG